rnacentral:rRNA from 1 species
CCUACGGGGUGCAGCAGUCGAGAAUCAUUCACAAUGGGGGAAACCCUGAUGGUGCGACGCCGCGUGGGGGAAUGAAGGUCUUCGGAUUGUAAACCCCUGUCAUGUGGGAGCAAAUUAAAAAGAUAGUACCACAAGAGGAAGAGACGGCUAACUCUGUGCCAGCAGCCGCGGUAAUACAGAGGUCUCAAGCGUUGUUCGGAAUCACUGGGCGUAAAGCGUGCGUAGGCUGUUUCGUAAGUCGUGUGUGAAGGGCGCGGGCGCAACCCGCGGACGGAACAUGAUACUGCGAGACUAGAGUAAUGGAGGGGGAACCGGAAUUCUCGGUGUAGCAGUGAAAUGCGUAGAUAUCGAGAGGAACACUCGUGGCGAAGGCGGGUUCCUGGACAUUAACUGACGCUGAGGCACGAAGGCCAGGGGAGCGAAAGGGAUUAGAUACCCCUGUAGUC